rnacentral:misc_RNA from 1 species
AGCGUUAGUGUCUGUGUGGUGAGGUGGUAGUGGCUGGCGCGGAGCAAGUGGAACCAUGUGACAUUGUAUUCUCUUAUUUCGCCAAUUGAUAGUGCUUAAUCUUUAAGGAUACCCAAAGACCACAGUGUGAUAUAUGUCACAUGUAGUUAUUGAGCAUUUGGGUAGGUUGCACAUUCAUGCGGUGGGAGAUGACAUGUUAACAAAAACUGGCAGAAGUUAGGUGAUAACGAUAGAAUAUCCCGCCAAGGUUGUGCAGCGGUGCUUCACCUGGUACAAAGCAUGAGCGAGCACAGCUAGACCUUGUGUCGCUGAGUGGCCUGAGUGGUGUGUGAGGCCAGCCGUGUGUGUGUGUGAAAGAGAGUGUGGUGUGGGCGUGAGGCUUUGGUGUGACAAUGGCCAGCACUACGGGCGGCGGCGGCGGCUCCGCAAUGGAUGCCCAGCUCGUGGCCCUCCUGGACAAGUUGGAAGGCCUUCGGCAGGAGGUUGGCCCUCCUCCUAGGCUGUCCAUGAUUGCUGAAGUGCGCACCCUAGAGCUAUGGCGCGCGGUGAUCGCCGAGUGCCUGGCCACGGUGUUCUAUGUGUUCCUGGUGUGUGGCGCCUACAGCCCCUGGACCGGCAAGGUGUUGACGCAGGACGGGCAGCUGACAGUGGCCUUGGUGGCAGGUUUCACCAUGGCCAUCCUCGUCCAUAGUUUUGGCCAGGUUUCCGGGGGCCACAUCAAUCCUGCUGUCACGGUCUCUCUGGCGGUCACCCGGCAUGUGUCUCCUCUGCGCGCCGCUAUGUUCGUACUGGCGCAGCUUGGGGGCGGGAUAGCCGGUGCAGCGCUGCUCUAUGGGGCGACGUCAUCUGGCUACACGGGUGACCUGGGAGCCACCUCGGUGUCACAAGUCAUCACCCAGUGGCAAGGUCUGGGUCUGGAGUUUCUCUUAACCUUCGUGGUGGUCUUCGUGUUCUUUUCUUCCGUCAAUCCCUACCGCAGGAGCUUCGGAAACCCCUCCGUCGUGAUUGGGUUCGCCUACAUGGCCUGCACGCUCGUAGGGCUCCCCCUCACUGGUGCCUCCAUGAACCCAGCACGCUCCCUCGGGCCAGCCUUCGUCAAGAACAAGUGGGACGCUCAUUGGGUGUACUGGGUGGCUCCUUUGGUGGGCGGCAUGACGGGAGGCCUCAUCUAUGAGUACAUCUUCAAUCCACACAGAGUGCCGCGCUCCCGCAAGGAUUCCAUGGAUGGAGAUUCUUCAAGUGUAGGGAGUGAUGAAGAUCCAUACGAUGAAUGCUCCAAGCCUCCACCUCGGUAUAAUUACAAUGCUCUUCAUGCCCAAAACUACGACCAGUACCGCCCUGCCAAUACCUCCAACACCACUUCUCCCUUAGGAUAUCCAGCAAGUAUGUAUGAACACAACGGAGCAACUUCAGUUUGUAAUGCAUCAGCAUACAAGUAUGACAAUGGUUAUGUCAAAGAUGAUAUUUACUCAGGAUCAAAGAGUUUAUACACUAAAUCACCACCCUUGCCAAGAUCAUCAUCUCUAAACCGCUCCCAGUCAGUGUAUGCCAAGCCUCCACCACCUCGCAUGGACAACUACAACAGGAACCUCACUCACUCUCAAAGCCUGUGUCCCAAAUCAGCCACAGAUUUCUCCACCCUUCCUCACACAGAUAACAUGUACAAAAGCAACCCUCGGAGGGACACCCUUUAUGUCACAAGUAAGUCUGGGAUUGUGAAACCAGAGCCAGUGUAUGGAACAUCUUACAACAAACAAAAUGAUUCUGGAGAUUCAAACUACUCCACUUAUCGAGGCACAGCAAGUUAUAGUUCAUCCCGUUCCUCAAAUCCAGGACCACCAGUUCCCAUGAGUCGAACACGUACUGACAAUCUCACUCCAAAUUCGGUUGCUUCCGCUCAUUCAAGUCUUGUUACUCCUAACUCAGCAGGCUUGUGUUACUCUCCAAAUCCUCAAUAUUAAGAAGAGGACAAACAAUUUCACACCAGAAUUCUGCCUUGAACAAUUGGGAAUCAUAACUCUUGGAUAAUUGCUAAUGCUUUGCAUUCUGUUGGCCAAAUGGAAAAAAAUAUUGAAUAUGUGUAAAGCCCAUUUAUUGGUGUUUUAUUUUACUUUAUAUCUUAUUUAGAAGACUUACUUAUUAGUAUUUGUAUUUUUCAUCUUUUAUUUAAUGGUGUGUACUAAGAACAUAAAGUGCUUCCAUUAUUUAAAUGUUUCAGGGCUUUCCAAAAAUAAUUAUAGCUUUAAGACAUAAUCCCUGAUUAAGACAUUUAAAUAUGACUAUAAAUAAAGUAUACAACUUUUUUCAUCAGUAUAAUUCAAUACUUCUUUCUAUAUUUAAUGUAGUACCUCCCAAGCUUGAUAUGAACUUUGUUUGCAAACUAAUAUAGAAACAAUUGGAAUUUACUAGUAAAUUAGAAUGGAUACUGUCAUGUGAAUGUGUCAAGAUUAUUUAUAUAUAAUAACAUUUCACCACUUGCUAGAAUAGAAGAAUCCAGUAAGUCAGGUGUAUUAACAGUUCCAUGGUUGCCCAGUUGCACUUUUUGCAAUUUCAAGCAGCGUUGUGUGUGUGUGUGUGUGUGUGUGUGUGUGUGUGUGUGUGUGUGUGUGUGUGUGUGUGUGUGUACAUAUAUGUAUUCAGAAUUUAAUUAUGCUUAAGGUGUCUCGAUCAUAUUUCUUCACAUGAAAGAAGCAUGUUCCUUUUAAAAGUAUGACAUGUGAUGUUUUGACAAACAGAUGGUAAACACUAAGUAAUGUAUGAACAAAUGUAUGUUUCUACUUGUAUAUAUUAAUGCCAAUUCUCAUUAUCACUUUGCCAACACUGGCAAAUGUUACAAGCUGUGUGUGUUUUACUUUGUUGUAAAGACAAAUCUUAGCUAAUUAUACAAAUGAUUUUGAAUGCUCAUCUUCUUGAGAUAUUUGUGCAGUCUACUUCUUACAUAAAGUAUAAAUUUGAGAACAAUUACAAACAAGUAAGUCUUGUUAUAUAUAAAGUUAUAUGUUAGAUAUGUUUUCUUGAGAAUUAUUCAAUAAUUGUAAAUAGUAGGUAUGAUUUAUAACAACCCAACUUGCUUCUGAGUGUACUUGUAAGAAAAAACAUGAAAGUGUUUCACGGUCAAAUUGGUCUAAACCAUAGGCAUUUAAAAAAUAUAUUAAAUCAAAUUAAUAAAUUAGAUCAAAAGAUAUUUUUUAUCAGCUGGAACUGAAUGCUAAGGUGGAGAACACCCAUUCAUCUCGGCAAAUAAAGUUGAUUUCAGCCCUAAAGUUGAGUAUGAUACAAUACAUAUACACAAUUUAUAUUUUUCAGAUCUUCAUUUCAUCAUCCAUAUAUAUAUAUAUAUAUAUAUAUAUAUAUAUAUAUAUAUAUAUAUAUAUAUAUAUAUAUAUAUAUAUAUACACACACACACACACAGUAAACCCUACUUAAAUUGGACCUGAAUAAACUGGAUAUAAUUUUUUUUCUCUCUCUCUCUCUCCUCUAUCCAGAGUGCAUUGGUUGUCAUGUUCUAUCCCUAGUUUCAAUAAUCUUAAGCCACUAAGCCUAUAUACUGGUUAAAAUAUCCCUAAUACCUCUUACAUUGUCAGUGUCAUUUGAGUUGUCUGAGCUGUUAAGAGACAUGAAAAAGGUGUAUGCCUCAGUACUGCCAGUGCCAAGAUCAGUGUUUACACAGCUGACUUAGCAAGCGCACCACAGUGUCUCCCUCAGUUUUCACUCACUCUGUAGUUCUUAUUGUUGCCUUUGUAAAUGCAUGCGAAAUGUGAAGAAAAAAAAAAAAAAAUCCUUGAGUAACUGAUUUCUAGAUAAUUUGGAUUGGCCUCCCCCCAAUAGGUCCAACUUAUGCUAGGAUUUACUUUAUACCUAUUUGUUAGCAAGACCUACUUGUAUACAUAUUACAAGAAAAAAUUUCUCCAUUUAAGUGAAAACUUUUUUCAUCUAUGAUCAUUAAUAUUCUUGUUAUUAUUAUUAUCAUUAUUAUUUUUAGAAUACCUUAGUAUCCAAAUAAUGCUUUUGUAAUAGCCAGCCAAAAGUAGUUAUGAUGUAUAUACUGUAAAUCCUGGGGGAGUCAAAAAUUAUCGUGCUCCAAUUGAAGUGAGUAUGAAGCACUAACUACAAGGAUGUAUUAAUUAUAUCUUAUCGCACAAACAAAAUCCCUCUACCUCCUUGCACAUAACCCUGCCCAUGCUUGUGUGUGAGGACCACUGAGGGACAAAAGAGUGACUGAUCCACGGCCUGACGGUGGCAGUGCUACAUAUAACCAUUUAGCUCCUUCCAAAUCUUGAUAAAUAGUUUUCAUUUUUAAGUAACAGAUGGAAGAUUAUUCUUUAAUAUCACUGAACUAAUAACAGUAAAGUUUGUUAGGGGCAGUCACUACAUCCAUGAGGGUCACUCCUUUUAGUACAAGUUUUGUAGAAUUCUAUACUUAGGAUUUGUAUAAUUUAUUGCUUAUCAAUCAUCUUGACUGUCAUUAUAAGCAAAUCUAUAUUUAUAGUAUACAUAAUUGGAAUUCUCUGGUAGUCUGAGCUGGCAAUUAUGUUAUCUCUGUGUUGUUUUUAUUUUUGGAGAUCUGCAAUGUGGACCUGCUCAAACUCCUUGACUUAAAUUAUGAAUAUGUUGAUGUAAGAUGGUAAAUAAAUCAUUGUUAUUGUUAUUUUACUCUUGGUUUCCAUAUUAGUGAACCAUUUUCAUUGCCUUGUGCUUGUGAGAUUUGCUAUUGCCUCUUGCAAGGGUUUCUUCUUUAUUUUUUCCCCAAAAAAAUACCCAUAAUAUUCAGGAUUGACUAUUACACAAGUAUGCUUGGUGUUUUGGAAAUAUUCUUAUUAUAAUGUCUUUUCAGUACUUCUAUGUUUCAGUAUGUACAAAUAUGAAAUUUCAAUGGGCACUAAUUUUAUUUUUUGAGUGUAAAAUAGAUGCAGAAAUUUUUGUUUAUGUAAUAAGUGUGUAAAUAUACAUUCCAUCUCCUAGAAGUGAUUGGAAUUAAACUAUUGUUAAUUGUAUAGCAAACUAUUCUUAAUAUGCUUGACAUUGUGCUGAAAUUUAAUUAGUGAAGAGAAGAAUGGCAUGUAUGGGAUGAAAAUAAGAGGUACUAGAGAGUUUGAGUGUUAAUGGGGUGCAGAAAAAUGUAUGAUGUGCUUAAUUUUUCAUUGUUAUCCAAACAAAUGCCAAAUAUUUUUUUUAUAAUUUACUUUAAAUGCACAACUGAUAAUAUUGUAAAUUAAUAAAAAUUCAGAAGAAA